UUCCAAUUCAGUUGAAUCUUGUAACCCAAAAAAACCUCCUAGUCCAGAGCACAUUUUGUUCAUGAGGGAGAGAAAAAUGACCCCUUUGUGUCUGCCUGGAGAUGGCCCCAAGUUGGGACUGGAGCCAGCUAUGUCUUUGCCCAGGGCCAAGGCCUCAAAUAGAGGGUCCCCUGGCCCCACCCUGCUGGGGGCAGUUCCACCCAGAUUCUGGGAAGCUGGGGACUGAGAUGCAGAGGAUGUGGAGUAGGAGGGUCCCUUGAAUCUGAUGGGCUGGUUAGAGUUCUUUGGCUGCAAGUAAUAGAGACUGGGUCUGGCUAUUGAAGCUAUAAAAAAGAAUGUACUAGAAAGAUAUGGGGCAGCUCGUAUAAUUACCAAAGAAGCUGAUUAACCAUGACUUGAAGAGGACAGGUUCCUGGGCUGAGGGCCUCAAGGAAGAGCUCAUCCUUCAGAGCAAAAAUAGGUGCUGCUCUGGCAGAAUGAGAAUGAGUGGAUCCUGGGUAAGCACUGUAUUAGUCUGUUUUCAUACUGCUGAUAAAGAUAUACCCAAGACUGGGCAAUUUACAAAAGAAGGAGGUUUAAUGGGUUCAUAGUUCCAUGUGGCUGGGGAGGCCUUACCCUCAUGGUGGAAGGUGAAAGGCACAUCUCACAUGGCGGCAGACAAGAGAACAGAACUUGUUCAGGGAAACUCCUCUUUAUUAAACCAUCAGAUCUCAUGAGACUUAUUCAUUAUCAUGAGAAUAACAUGGGAAAGACCCAGCCCCAUGAUUCAAUUACCUCCCACCAGGU
rnacentral:lncRNA from 1 species